UCCAUGUUUGCCCUUCUCCGCAUUUAGGGUGCAUCGUUAAAAGGCAAAAGAGGUAUCAUGCUUUUUCUGUGAAGGAAAAAAAUACCAGAAUUUUAAAAAGUGUUUUAUUUUCUGUUUUAGCUAUCGACUUCAAUAUUAUCAAGAUUCUAAACAACCCAAGAGCAUAUGCGUUGCCCAUAUCCAAGGAAGAAUCAGGAUUAUCAAGACUAGCAAAAAAGACUCCAAGCAAAGGCUACCAAGAAACCUCACGAAGUGAAACAGGACUUUGA
rnacentral:lncRNA from 1 species